rnacentral:rRNA from 1 species
AUUGAACGCUGGCGGCAGGCCUAACACAUGCAAGUCGAGCGAGCGGCGGACGGGUGAGUAAUGUCUGGGAAACUGCCCGAUGGAGGGGGAUAACUACUGGAAACGGUAGCUAAUACCGCAUACUAUCGGAUGAACCCAGAUGGGAUUAGCUAGUAGGUGGGGUAACGGCUCACCUAGGCGACGAUCCCUAGCUGGUCUGAGAGGAUGAUCAGCCACACUGGGACUGAGACACGGCCCAGACGCCUACGGGAGGCAGCAGUGGGGAAUAUUGCACAAUGGGCGCAAGCCUGAUGCAGCCAUGCCGCGUGUAUGAAGAAGGCCUUCGGGUUGUAAAGUACUUUCAGCGGGGAGGCGUUACCCGCAGAAGAAGCACCGGCUAACUCCGUGCCAGCAGCCGCGGUAAUAC